GGUCCAAAGGUAGCGAGUUACCUCCAUUUAUUGUUCACAGUCAGCUACAUAUUGAACUCCUUGUUCUACGUUUCUCCCUUUUCACUGCCGUACUUGACAAAUCUUAA
rnacentral:Y_RNA from 1 species